rnacentral:rRNA from 1 species
AUUUGUCUUUUAAUUAAGGUCUAGAAUGAAUGGUUGAACGAGAAACUAACUUUUUUAAUUAAAUUUUUAUGAAUUUUAUUUUUUAGUAAAAAAGCUAAAAUUUAUUUAUGUGACGAUAAGACCCUAUAAAAUUUUAUUUUCAUGUUUUUAUUUAUUUAUUAGUUAAUAUGAUUUUUUUAAUUAUAUUGAGAAUUUGGUUGGGGCGAUUAUUUUAUUUUUUUAACUAUAAUUUUUAUUAAUUCAUUAAUUUAUGAAUUAUUGAUCCUAAAUUUUAGAUUAUAAGAAUAAAUUACUUUAGGGAUAACAGCGUAAUUUUCUUGGAGAGUUCUUAUUAAUAAGAAAGAUUGCGACCUCGAUGUUGGAUUAAAAUAAAGUUAUGGUGUAGAAGCUGUUAUUUUAAGUCUGUUCGACUUUUAAAAUUUUAC